rnacentral:rRNA from 1 species
UAGAGUUUGAUCAUGGCUCAGAGCGAACGCUGGCGGCAUGCUUAACACAUGCAAGCCGCACGAACCUUUCGGGGUUAGUGGCGGACGGGUGAGUAACGCGUAGGAAUCUGUCCAUGGGUGGGGGAUAACUCUGGGAAACUGGAGCUAAUACCGCAUGAUACCUGAGGGUCAAAGGCGCAAGUCGCCUGUGGAGGAGCCUGCGUUCGAUUAGCUAGUUGGUGGGGUAAAGGCCUACCAAGGCGAUGAUCGAUAGCUGGUUUGAGAGGAUGAUCAGCCACACUGGGACUGAGACACGGCCCAGACUCCUACGGGAGGCAGCAGUGGGGAAUAUUGGACAAUGGGGGCAACCCUGAUCCAGCAAUGCCGCGUGUGUGAAGAAGGUCUUCGGAUUGUAAAGCACUUUCGACGGGGACGAUGAUGACGGUACCCGUAGAAGAAGCCCCGGCUAACUUCGUGCCAGCAGCCGCGGUAAUACGAAGGGGGCUAGCGUUGCUCGGAAUGACUGGGCGUAAAGGGCGUGUAGGCGGUUUGUACAGUCAGAUGUGAAAUCCCCGGG